CCUACGGGAGGCAGCAGUGGGGAAUAUUGGACAAUGGGCGAAAGCCUGAUCCAGCAAUGCCGCGUGAGUGAUGAAGGCCUUCGGGUCGUAAAGCUCUUUUACCAGGGAUGAUAAUGACAGUACCUGGAGAAUAAGCUCCGGCUAACUCCGUGCCAGCAGCCGCGGUAAUACGGAGGGAGCUAGCGUUGUUCGGAAUUACUGGGCGUAAAGAGUACGUAGGCGGUUAUUCAAGUCAGAGGUGAGAGCCCGGGGCUCAACCCCGGAACUGCCUUUGAAACUAGAUAACUAGAGUCUUGGAGAGGUUAGUGGAAUUCCGAGUGUAGAGGUGAAAUUCGUAGAUAUUCGGAAGAACACCAGUGGCGAAGGCGACUAACUGGACAAGUACUGACGCUGAGGUACGAAAGCGUGGGGAGCAAACAGGAUUAGAUACCCUGGUAGUCCACGCCGUAAACGAUGAUAACUAGUUGUUCGGUCACUUGGUGACUGAGUGACGCAGCUAACGCAUUAAGUUAUCCGCCUGGGGAGUACGGUCGCAAGAUUAAAACUCAAAGAUAGUACGGACGUGUGAGUUAGCGACGAGACGACGAGGAGGAGG
rnacentral:rRNA from 1 species